CAGUGAAAUUGAACUCGCUGUGAAGAUGCAGUGUACCCGCGGCAAGACGGAAAGACCCCGUGAACCUUUACUAUAGCUUGACACUGAACAUUGAGCCUUGAUGUGUAGGAUAGGUGGGAGGCUUUGAAGUGUGGACGCCAGUCUGCAUGGAGCCGACCUUGAAAUACCACCCUUUAAUGUUUGAUGUUCUAACGUGGACCCGUGAUCCGGGUUGCGGACAGUGUCUGGUGGGUAGUUUGACUGGGGCGGUCUCCUCCUAAAGAGUAACGGAGGAGCACGAAGGUUGGCUAAUCCUGGUCGGACAUCAGGAGGUUAGUGCAAUGGCAUAAGCCAGCUUGACUGCGAGCGUGACGGCGCGAGCAGGUGCGAAAGCAGGUCAUAGUGAUCCGGUGGUUCUGAAUGGAAGGGCCAUCGCUCAACGGAUAAAAGGUACUCCGGGGAUAACAGGCUGAUACCGCCCAAGAGUUCAUAUCGACGGCGGUGUUUGGCACCUCGAUGUCGGCUCAUCACAUCCUGGGGCUGAAGUAGGUCCCAAGGGUAUGGCUGUUCGCCAUUUAAAGUGGUACGCGAGCUGGGUUUAGAACGUCGUGAGACAGUUCGGUCCCUAUCUGCCGUGGGCGCUGGAGAACUGAGGGGGGCUGCUCCUAGUACGAGAGGACCGGAGUGGACGCAUCACUGGUGUUCGGGUUGUCAUGCCAAUGGCACUGCCCGGUAGCUAAAUGCGGAAGAGAUAAGUGCUGAAAGCAUCUAAGCACGAAACUUGCCC
rnacentral:rRNA from 1 species